rnacentral:rRNA from 1 species
GACGAACGCUGGCGGCGUGCCUAAUACAUGCAAGUCGAACGAGUAGCGAACGGUUGAGUAACGCGGAGGAAACUGCCUCAUAGUGGGGGAUAACUAGUGGAAACGAUAGCUAAUACCGCAUACUGUGAGAUUGACCUGCGGGUUAGUAGCUUGUUGGUGGGGUAACGGCUCACCAAGGCGCCGAUCCCUAGCUGGUCUGAGAGGAUGAGUGGCCACACUGGAACUGAGACACGGGCCAUACUCCUACGGGAGGCAGCAGUGGGGAAUAUUGCACAAUGGGCGCAAGCCUGAUGCAGCAAUGCCGCGUGUAUGAAGAAGGCCUUCGGGUUGUAAAGUACUUUCAGCGGGGAAGCGUUACCCGCAGAAGAAGCACCGGCUAACUCCGUGCCAGCCGCCGCGGUAAUUC